UACGUAGGGGGCAAGCGUUGUCCGGAUUCAUUGGGCGUAAAGGGCGUGUAGGCGGCUAGGUAGGUCGGUUGUGAAAACUGGAGGCUCAACCUUCAGAGGUCGACCGAAACCAUCUGGCUAGAGUCCGGGAGAGGAGAGUGGAAUUCCUGGUGUAGCGGUGAAAUGCGCAGAUAUCAGGAAGAACACCCGCGGCGAAAGCGGCUCUCUGGAACGGUACUGACGCUGAGACGCGAAAGCGUGGGGAGCGAACAGG
rnacentral:rRNA from 1 species